GACGAACGCUGGCGGCGUGCUUAACACAUGCAAGUCGAACGGAAAGGCCCUGCUUUUGUGGGGUGCUCGAGUGGCGAACGGGUGAGUAACACGUGAGUAACCUGCCCUUGACUUUGGGAUAACUUCAGGAAACUGGGGCUAAUACCGGAUAGGAGCUCCUGCUGCAUGGUGGGGGUUGGAAAGUUUCGGCGGUUGGGGAUGGACUCGCGGCUUAUCAGCUUGUUGGUGGGGUAGUGGCUUACCAAGGCUUUGACGGGUAGCCGGCCUGGGAGGGUGACCGGCCACAUUGGGACUGGGAUACGGCCCAGACGCCUACGGGAGGCAGGAGUGGAGAAUAUUGCACACUGGGCGGAAGCCGGAAGGAGCAACGCCGCGUGCGGGAUGACGGCCUUCGGGUAGUAAACCGCUUUCGCCUGUGACGAAGCGUGAGGGACGGUAAUGGAUAAAGAAGCACCGGCUAACUACGU
rnacentral:rRNA from 1 species